rnacentral:rRNA from 1 species
GACGAACGCUGGCGGCGUGCCUAAUACAUGCAAGUAGAACGCAGUUGCGCACGGGUGAGUCACGCUUAGGUAACUGCCUCAUAGCGGGGGAUAACUAUUGGACACGAUAGCUAAUACCGCAUCCUGUUAGUUUGACCUUCGUUUUAUUUGCUCGUUGGUGAGGUAAAGGCUCCACAAGGCGCCGAUACAUAGCCGGACUGAGAGGGGGAUGGGCCAAAAGUGGACUGAGACAGUGCCCAGACUCCUACGGGAGGCAGCAGUAGGGAAGCUUCGGCAAUGGACGGAAGUCUGACCGAGCAACGACGCGGGAGUGAAGAAGGUGUUCGGAACGUAAAGCUCUGUUGUUAGAGAAGCGGUAACUAACCAGAAAGGGACGGCUAACUACGUGCCAGCAGCCGCGGUAAUAC